GCCAAGGGGGGCAGCUAUACAUGCAAGUCGAGCGGACAGAUGGGAGCUUGCUCCCUGAUGUUAGCGGCGGACGGGUGAGUAACACGUGGGUAACCUGCCUGUAAGACUGGGAUAACUCCGGGAAACCGGGGCUAAUACCGGAUGGUUGUUUGAACCGCAUGGUUCAAACAUAAAAGGUGGCUUCGGCUACCACUUACAGAUGGACCCGCGGCGCAUUAGCUAGUUGGUGAGGUAACGGCUCACCAAGGCAACGAUGCGUAGCCGACCUGAGAGGGUGAUCGGCCACACUGGGACUGAGACACGGCCCAGACUCCUACGGGAGGCAGCAGUAGGGAAUCUUCCGCAAUGGACGAAAGUCUGACGGAGCAACGCCGCGUGAGUGAUGAAGGUUUUCGGAUCGUAAAGCUCUGUUGUUAGGGAAGAACAAGUACCGUUCGAAUAGGGCGGUACCUUGACGGUACCUAACCAGAAAGCCACGGCUAACUACGUGCCAGCAGCCGCGGUAAUACGUAGGUGGCAAGCGUUGUCCGGAAUUAUUGGGCGUAAAGGGCUCGCAGGCGGUUUCUUAAGUCUGAUGUGAAAGCCCCCGGCUCAACCGGGGAGGGUCAUUGGAAACUGGGGAACUUGAGUGCAGAAGAGGAGAGUGGAAUUCCACGUGUAGCGGUGAAAUGCGUAGAGAUGUGGAGGAACACCAGUGGCGAAGGCGACUCUCUGGUCUGUAACUGACGCUGAGGAGCGAAAGCGUGGGGAGCGAACAGGAUUAGAUACCCUGGUAGUCCACGCCGUAAACGAUGAGUGCUAAGUGUUAGGGGGUUUCCGCCCCUUAGUGCUGCAGCUAACGCAUUAAGCACUCCGCCUGGGGAGUACGGUCGCAAGACUGAAACUCAAAGGAAUUGACGAGGGGCCCGCACAAGCGGUGGAGCAUGUGGUUUAAUUCGGAAGCAACGCGAAGAACCUUACCAGGUCUUGACAUCCUCUGACAAUCCUAGAGAUAGGACGUCCCCUUCGGGGGCAGAGUGACAGGUGGUGCAUGGUUGUCGUCAGCUCGUGUCGUGAGAUGUUGGGUUAAGUCCCGCAACGAGCGCAACCCUUGAUCUUAGUUGCCAGCAUUCAGUUGGGCACUCUAAGGUGACUGCCGGUGACAAACCGGAGGAAGGUGGGGAUGACGUCAAAUCAUCAUGCCCCUUAUGACCUGGCUACACACGUGCUACAAU
rnacentral:rRNA from 1 species